rnacentral:rRNA from 1 species
GAUCAUGGCUCAGGAUGAACGCUAGCGGCAGGCUUAACACAUGCAAGUCGAGGGGCAGCGCGAGGUAGCAAUACUUGGCGGCGACCGGCGCAAGGGUGCGUAACGCGUGAGCAACUUGCCCGUAACAGGAGGAUAACCUGAGGAAACUCCGACUAAUACUGCGUAGUAAUAAUUGGUGGCAUCACCGAGUGUUUAAAGGCGAAAGCCGGUUACGGAUAGGCUCGCGUGACAUUAGCUUGAUGGCGGGGUAACGGCCCACCAUGGCGACGAUGUCUAGGGGUUCUGAGAGGAAGGUCCCCCACACUGGUACUGAGACACGGACCAGACUCCUACGGGAGGCAGCAGUGAGGAAUAUUGGACAAUGGUCGGAAGACUGAUCCAGCCAUGCCGCGUGAAGGCUAAGGUCCUAUGGAUUGUAAACUUCUUUUGUACGAGAGGAAUUAGACGGACGUGUCCGUCGACGACAGUAUCGUACGAAUAAGCAUCGGCUAACUCCGUGCCAGCCGCAGC